rnacentral:rRNA from 1 species
UACGUAGGGGGCAAGCGUUGUCCGGAAUCAUUGGGCAUAAAGCGCACGUAGGCGGCCCUGUAAGUCCGUUGUGAAAGUCAAAGGCUCAACCUUUGAAUGCCGAUGGAUACUGCAGGGCUAGAGUCCGGAAGAGGCGAGUGGAAUUCCUGGUGUAGCGGUGGAAUGCGCAGAUAUCAGGAGGAACACCAAUUGCGAAGGCAGCUCGCUGGGACGUUACUGACGCUGAGACGCGAAAGCGUGGGGGAGCAAACAGG